rnacentral:lncRNA from 1 species
GAUGUAGGAGGACUGUUUCAUCAAAAAGGGCUCCGGCCUCUCCGAUGUACCGAAAAAUGUCUUCACCAUUAUGAGGAAGACGGGCAAUGGUAUGAAGUUUUUCAUCGGAAAGAAGAAUUUGAACACCAUUUAUAUUUGUCACAAGCUCACCGUCAUGGCGUCAUCAUCCUCAUGAAGGUUGGAGUAAAAUGCUUGAAUCAAUGUAGUAUUGAUGUAAGGAUGGGUAAGAAGUAAGAAGUCAAGAAGUUGACAAUUUUUGAGCAUAUUUGCAGCGGGGCCAUAAGAUUCAAGAUACUUGUUGGUUGAAAAGCGGGGAGGAAGAAUGUCGCGCUUUUCAAAUUUUGUUAAAAAUCGAGGAAGCUCGAUGUCAGAAUUAAAGUAUAGAACGGAAC